UUGGUGGGAUGUUUAAUAAGAUCAAAGUUU
rnacentral:piRNA from 1 species